AUUGAACGCUGGCGGCAUGCUUUACACAUGCCAGUCGAACGGCAGCACGGGCUUCGGCCUGGUGGCGAGUGGCGAACGGGUGAGUAAUAUAUCGGAACGUACCCAGAAGUGGGGGAUAACGUGGCGAAAGUUACGCUAAUACCGCAUACGAUCUAUGGAUGAAAGCAGGGGACCGCAAGGCCUUGUGCUCCUGGAGCGGCCGAUAUCUGAUUAGCUAGUUGGUGAGGUAAAGGCUCACCAAGGCGACGAUCAGUAGCUGGUCUGAGAGGACGACCAGCCACACUGGAACUGAGACACGGUCCAGACUCCUACGGGAGGCAGCAGUGGGGAAUUUUGGACAAUGGGCGCAAGCCUGAUCCAGCAAUGCCGCGUGAGUGAAGAAGGCCUUCGGGUUGUAAAGCUCUUUUGUCAGGGAAGAAACGGUAGAGGCUAAUAUCCUUUGCUAAUGACGGUACCUGAAGAAUAAGCACCGGCUAACUACGUG
rnacentral:rRNA from 1 species